UACGUAGGGUGCAAGCGUUAUCCGGAAUUAUUGGGCGUAAAGAGCUCGUAGGCGGUUUGUCACGUCUGCCGUGAAAACUGGAGGCUCAACCUCCAGCCUGCAGUGGGUACGGGCAGACUAGAGUGCGGUAGGGGAGAUUGGAAUUCCUGGUGUAGCGGUGGAAUGCGCAGAUAUCAGGAGGAACACCGAUGGCGAAGGCAGAUCUCUGGGCCGUAACUGACGCUGAGGAGCGAAAGCAUGGGGAGCGAACAGG
rnacentral:rRNA from 1 species